GAUGAAGAACGUAGCGAAAUGCGAUAAGUAAUGUGAAUUGCAGAAUUCAGUGAAUCAUCGAAUCUUUGAACGCACAUUGCGCCCGCCAGUAUUCUGGCGGGCAUGCCUGUCUGAGCGUCAUUUCAACCCUCAGCCCCCGCUCGCGGGGCGCUGGCGUUGGGGAUCGGCAGUCCUCGCGGCGGCCGGCCCCGAAACACAGUGGCGGUCUCUCGCGGACUCCCCUGCGUAGUAGCACUACCUCGCAGAAGGGACGAGCGGGCUGACCACGCCGUAAAACCCCCCACUUCUCCAGGUUGACCUCAGAUCAGGUAGGAAUACCCGCUGAACUUAAGCAUAUCAAUAAGCGGAGGA
rnacentral:misc_RNA from 1 species